AAUCUACCCUUGCAUCUGGAAUAACUACGGGAAGCUGUAGCUAAUACCGGAUACGUUCUCCAUUCUACGGGAUGGAGAAGAAAGAUGACCUCUUCUUGAAAGUCAUCGUGCAGGGAGGAGCUUGCGUACCAUUAGCUAGUUGGUAGGGUAAUGGCCUACCAAGGCAACGAUGGUUAGCGGGUCUGAGAGGAUGAUCCGCCACACUGGAACUGGAACACGGACCAG
rnacentral:rRNA from 1 species